rnacentral:tRNA from 1 species
UUAUAACAUUUGAUUUGCAUUCAAAAAGUAUUGAUUUUUCAAUCUACCUUA